rnacentral:rRNA from 1 species
ACGGCCGCGGUACCCUAACCGUGCGAAGGUAGCAUAAUCACUUGUUCUUUAAAUGAGGACUCGUAUCAACGGCAUCACGAGGAUCCUACUGUCUCCCCCCUCUAAUCGGUGAAACUGAUCUCUCCGUGAAGAAGCGGAGAUGUACAUAUAAGACGAGAAGACCCCAUGGAGCUUUAAACCCAACAACACCCGCCCCCCCUCCAAAUCCUAUUAUUUACCCGGUGAUUGUUUGUUUGGUUUUAGGUUGGGGUGACCGCGGAGUAUAAGAUAUCCUCCAUGAAAAAAAGCUAACUGCCCUUAUUAGAGAAAGACACUUCCAAAAAAUAAUAAAUUAAUUUUAAAUGAUCCGACAUUCGAUCAACGAACCAAGUUACCCUGGGGAUAACAGCGCAAUCCGUCCCGAGAGCCCCUAUCGACAGGCGGGUUUACGACCUCGAUGUUGGAUCAGGGUAUCCCAGUGGUGCAGCAGCUACUAAAGGUUCGUUUGUUCAACGAUUAAAACCCU